AUGGACUUCAGGCUCAGCUUGAUUUUUCUUAUCCUUAUGUCAAAAAGUGUCCAGUAUGAGGUGAAGCUGGUAGAGUCUGGGGAAGGUUUAGUGCAGCCUGGAAGGUCCCUGAAACUCUCCUGUGCAGGCUCUGGAUUCACUUUUGAUGACUAUCGAAUGGCAUGGGUCUGCCAGGCUCCAAAGAAGGGACUGGAGUGGCUAGCAGCCAUUAAUAGGAAUGGUGGUAGCACCUACUAUCCAGACACUGUAAAGGGCCAAUUCACUAUCUGCAGAGACAAUGACAAAAGUGCCCUAUACCUGCAAAUGAACGAUCUGAUAUCUGAGGACACGUCCAUGUAUUACUGUGCUAGACACAUCAUGAGUGGGUAUUACUGUGAGCUGAAAAACAAACCUCCAGUAGAGUACACUCUGGGCCAGUAG